AGUAGCCAAGGGCCUAGAAUCUGUUUUACAACCCACACAGCGCAGGGCUAGCCCACUGAUGUACACCGCCCCCACACCUAUCGCUAGUUCUAAUCAGGUCCCCCAGGUAUUCCCCCAACAGUACACUCAAUCACCCCACGCACUGCCUGCGCCAAUCCCUUUCCCCCGGGACCGGACCAUUAUGACAAUCCGGACCUGUUUUAAUUGCAAUCAGCCAGGCCACUUCAGAAGAGAUUGCCCACAGCCUAGGGUGUUCCGCCAGCCUAGUCCCCGGUACCAAGGUCCCCAUGUCACCGGCCAUAACUACCCUUCCCCUGGUUACCUCCCCGCCCUUCCCCAUCCACAUUUGCCUCAGCUUCCUCCUCCUCCUCCCC